rnacentral:rRNA from 1 species
CGCGAACGUUGGCGGCGUGCCUAACACAUGCAAGUCGUGGGGCAGCAGGCUACUGUCUUUUGGCAGUAGUGCUGGCGACCGGCAAACGGGUGAGUAACACGUAGCUUACCUACCCAUAGGUUGGGGAUAACAUCCCGAAAGGGGUGCUAAUACCCAAUAAUGAGGAGACUCCAAAGCCCUUAUGGGCGCCUAUGGAUGGGGCUGCGUCCCAUCAGCUAGUUGGUGAGGUAAUGGCUCACCAAGGCUACGACGGGUAACCGGUCUGAGAGGAUGACCGGUCACAGUGGGACUGAGACACGGCCCGCACCCCUACGGGGGGCAGCAGUGGGGAAUAUUGGGCAAUGGCCGAAAGGCUGACCCAGCAACGCCGCGUGGUGGAUGAAGCCCUUCGGGGAGUAAACACCUUUUCUGGGGGAAGAUAAUGACGGUACCCCAGGAAUAAGGGACGGCUAACUACGUGCCAGCAGCCGCGGUAAUACGUAG